UACGUAGGCAGCAAGCGUUGUUCGGAGUUACUGGGCGUAAAGGGUGUGUAGGCGGUUCUUUAAGUUUGGUGUGAAAUCUCCCGGCUCAACCGGGAGGGUGCGCCGAAUACUGAGGGACUAGAGUGUGGGAGAGGAAAGUGGAAUUCCUGGUGUAGCGGUGAAAUGCGUAGAUAUCAGGAGGAACACCAGUGGUGUAGACGGCUUUCUGGACCAUAACUGACGCUGAGACACGAAAGCGUGGGUAGCAAACAGG
rnacentral:rRNA from 1 species